GAUGAACGCUGGCGGCGUGCCUAAUACAUGCAAGUCGAGCGAACAGACGAGGAGCUUGCUCCUCUGACGUUAGCGGCGGACGGGUGAGUAACACGUGGAUAACCUACCUAUAAGACUGGGAUAACUUCGGGAAACCGGAGCUAAUACCGGAUAAUAUAUUGAACCGCAUGGUUCAAUAGUGAAAGACGGUUUUGCUGUCACUUAUAGAUGGAUCCGCGCCGCAUUAGCUAGUUGGUAAGGUAACGGCUUACCAAGGCAACGAUGCGUAGCCGACCUGAGAGGGUGAUCGGCCACACGGGAACUGAGACACGGUCCAGACUCCUACGGGAGGCAGCAGUAGGGAAUCUUCCGCAAUGGGCGAAAGCCUGACGGAGCAACGCCGCGUGAGUGAUGAAGGUCUUCGGAUCGUAAAACUCUGUUAUUAGGGAAGAACAAAUGUGUAAGUAACUAUGCACGUCUUGACGGCACCUAAUCAGAAAGCCACGGCUAACUACGUG
rnacentral:rRNA from 1 species